GCUUCCUACGGGGGGCAGCAGUGAGGAAUAUUGGUCAAUGGGCGAGAGCCUGAACCAGCCAUCCCGCGUGCAGGAAGAAUGCCCUAUGGGUUGUAAACUGCUUUUUCGCAUGAAGAACACUUCGGACGUGUCCGAAGCUGACGGUAAUGCGUGAAUAAGCACCGGCUAACUCCGUGCCAGCAGCCGCGGUAAUACGGAGGGUGCAAGCGUUAUCCGGAUUUAUUGGGUUUAAAGAGUGCGUAGGCGGUGAUUUAAGUCAGUGGUGAAAUCCUGCAGCUCAACUGUAGAACAGCCAUUGAAACUGAAUUACUUGAGUAAUCUUGAGGUAGGCGGAAUGUGUAGUGUAGCGGUGAAAUGCUUAGAUAUUACACAGAACACCGAUUGCGAAGGCAGCUUACUAAGGAUUUACUGACGCUGAUGCACGAAAGCGUGGGGAUCAAACAGGAUUAGAUACCCUGGUAGUCCACGCCGUAAACGAUGAUAACUCGCUGUUGGCGAUACACAGUCAGCGGCUUAGCGAAAGCGUUAAGUUAUCCCNCCUGGGGAGUACNCUCNCNAGAGUGAAACUCNAAGGAAUUGACGGGGGCCCNCCCANNCGGAGAACNUGNGGUUUAAUUCNAUGANNCCNGAGNANCNUNCCNGGGGCUUNAAAUGGCCNNGACCCCUGGAAAAAUNCCCCUNCCCCCAAGGNCAAANAAAAGGGGCUUCCUG
rnacentral:rRNA from 1 species